rnacentral:rRNA from 1 species
GGCCUUGACAUACUAAGAACUUUCAGAGAUGGAUUGGUGCCUUCGGGAACUUAGAUACAGGUGCUGCAUGGCUGUCGUCAGCUCGUGUCGUGAGAUGUUGGGUUAAGUCCGCAACGAGCGCAACCCUUUUCCUUAUUUGCCAGCGGGUAAUGCCGGGAACUUUAAGGAUACUGCCAGUGACAAACUGGAGGAAGGCGGGGACGACGUCAAGUCAUCAUGGCCCUUACGGCCAGGGCUACACACGUGCUACAAUGGUCGGUACAAAGGGUUGCUACCUCGCGAGAGGAUGCUAAUCUCAAAAAGCCGAUCGUAGUCCGGAUCGCAGUCUGCAACUCGACUGCGUGAAGUCGGAAUCGCUAGUAAUCGCGGAUCAGAAUGCCGCGGUGAAUACGUUCCCGGGCCUUGUACACACCGCCCGUCACACCAUGGGAGUUUGUUGCACCAGAAGUAGGUAGUCUAACCGCAAGGAGGACGCUUACCACGGUGUGGCCGAUGACUGGGGUGAAGUCGUAACAAGGUAGGCGUAGAUGA